rnacentral:rRNA from 1 species
UAGUGAGUUUGUAUCCUGGCUCAGGAUGAACGCUGGCGGCGGUGCUUAACGACGAUGCAAGUCGAACCAUGAUCCGGUGCUUGCAUCGGGGAUUAGUGGCGAACGGGUGAGUAACGCGUGAGAAUCUGCCUUCUGGUCGGGGACAACCACUGGAAACGGUGGCUAAGACCGGAUAUGCCUUAUGGGUGAAAGAUUAAUUGCCAGAAGAAGAGCUCGCGUCUGAUUAGCUAGUUGGAGAGGUAAAGGCUCACCAAGGCAUCGGAUCAGUAGCUGGUCUGAGAGGACGAUC